UCUCCGUUGGUGAACCAGCGGAGGGAACAUUACAGAGUUGCAAAACUCCCAAACCAUUGUGAACGUUACCUUUCCCGUUGCUUCGGCGGGCGGCCCGGGCCCCGCGCCCGGCGCCCCCCGGCCCCCCGUGGGCGCCCGCCGGAGGUAAACCAAACGCUUGAAUUGCAUGGCCUCUCUUAGUCUUCUGUACUGAAUAAGUCAAAACUUUCAACAACGGAUCUCUUGGUUCUGGCAUCGAUGAAGAACGCGGC
rnacentral:misc_RNA from 1 species